rnacentral:rRNA from 1 species
AACGAACGCUGGCGGCAUGCCUAACACAUGCAAGUCGAACGAACCCUUCGGGGUUAGUGGCGCACGGGUGCGUAACGCGUGGGAACCUGCCUUUAGGUUCGGAAUAACAGUUAGAAAUGACUGCUAAUACCGGAUAAUGUCUUCGGACCAAAGAUUUAUCGCCUUUAGAUGGGCCCGCGUAGGAUUAGGUAGUUGGUGGGGUAAAGGCCUACCAAGCCGACGAUCCUUAGCUGGUCUGAGAGGAUGAUCAGCCACACUGGGACUGAGACACGGCCCAGACUCCUACGGGAGGCAGCAGUGGGGAAUAUUGGACAAUGGGCGAAAGCCUGAUCCAGCAAUGCCGCGUGAGUGAUGAAGGCCUUAGGGUUGUAAAGCUCUUUUACCAGGGAUGAUAAUGACAGUAC